CCCCGGUCCCGAAUGGGACCGGGGGUAAAGCUCCGGCGGGGAUGGAUGGGCAUGCGUGCCANAAGCUGGUUGGUGGGGUAACGGCCCACCAAGGCUACGAUGGCUAGGGGGUCUGGGAGGAUGAUCCCCCACACUGGUACUGAGACACUGUUCAGACUCCUACGGGAGGCAGCAGUGAGGAAUAUUGGUCAAUGGGCGGAAGCCUGAACCAGCCAUGUCGCGUGCAGGACGACGGCCCUACGGGUUGUAAACUGCUCUUCCGGGGGAAGAAUAACCGCCCUGCGGGGCGGGAUGCCGGUACCCCGGGAAUAAGGAUCGGCUAACUCCGUGCCAGCAGCCGCG
rnacentral:rRNA from 1 species